GAUGAAGAACGUAGCGAAAUGCGAUAAGUAGUGUGAAUUGCAGAAUUCAGUGAAUCAUCGAAUCUUUGAACGCACAUUGCGCCCCUUGGUAUUCCAUGGGGCAUGCCUGUUCGAGCGUCAUUUGUACCUUCAAGCUUUGCUUGGUGUUGGGUGUUUGUCCUGAGGGACUCGCCUUAAAGUAAUUGGCAGCCAGUGUUUGGUUUUGAAGCGCAGCACAAGUCGCGAUUCAAAGCUAUACGCCCGCUUCCACAAGCCUUUUUCACUUUUGACCUCGGAUCAGGUAGGGAUACCCGCUGAACUUAAGCAUAUCAAUAAGCGGCGGA
rnacentral:misc_RNA from 1 species